UUUUUUUUUUUUUUUUUUUUUUUUUUGAGAAGGAGUUUAGCUGCAACACCCAGGCUGGAGUGCAAUAGUGUGAUAUAGGCUCACUGCAACCUCCGCUUCCCAGGUUCAAGUGAUUUUCCUGCCUCAGCCUCCCAAGCAGCUGGGACUACAGGCGCCCACCAACAUGCCGGGCCUCGAACUCCUGACCUCAAGUCAUCCACCCACCUCAGCCUCCCAAAGUGCUGGGAUUACAGGCGUGAGCCACUGCACCUGGCCAGCAAGUUGUUUCUCAUCUGCCAUCCUGCAGACUCAAGAAUUUAUGUUAGUUACUGAUUUCUUUAACUCUUUGGGGCACAGUUUCAGUAGCCACACAUUUUUUUUAAGGCUCCUAGAAAAUUAAAAUAGCACAAAAAUUGUGGUAUAUUUUACAUAUCUGCAUUUAGAUAACAUCUUCAACACUCAACACAAGACCACAGCUGGAUAUUUUACUGGUGAUAACUUCAAAAAUCUAAAACUUAAGACACAAGACCACAGCUGGAUAUUUUACUGGUGAUAACUUCAAAAAUCUAAAACUUAAGACCUUUAAUAAACAUGAAACCAUACUAAAUGGCUCUACUUUGUACUCUUUUCGUUUUUUGUAGAGACAGAGCCUUGCUAUGUUGCCCAGGUUUGUCUUGAACUCCUGGGCUCAUGCGAUCCUCCCACCUUGUCCUCCCAAACUGCUGGGAUUAAAGAUGUGAGCCACUGCACCUGGCUCCUACUUGGUAUUUUAUGGUAACUCUUCAGCCAUCUCUCCCCAAUUAGGACCCCUUUUUAAGAGGAAGGGAAGCUGACGGUCAGCAGGAAGGACUAGAGGCCCCUCACCUUGGUCAGUGAAUGGGAGGGACACACUUCCACUACCUUGUCUCCUGGGUUUUAUUUUUAUAAAAUAAUUUUUAACUUUUAAAAAUUUCACAAAUCUGUAACAGCCAAAUCUUCUGGGUUUUAAACAUGGUCACAGAUGUUUUUUGCCACUCAUCCCAUCAAGAAGUGGGGCGUCUGUCCCUCUGCCUUGUAUCUGGGCGGCUUGUGACUGCUACCAAUGAAAUACAAUGAAAUACAGAUGCGGUGUGGCCUCCAGGGUGAGGUCAUAAAAGGCCUUGAAACCUCUAUCUUGUUUGCUGGGAGAACUUGCACGUGGAGCCGGUGUAAGAAGUCUAGUUACCCUGAGAACAUCAUGCUGGAGUGGCUGCACAUAGCUGUCUGGUGGAGAGUCCAGAGGUGCUUUUGCUUCUUGUAAAAUAGGGGAAAAAAGUCAAACAAAUAGACACUGCCAUUGAUUAGUUGUGGAUGGUGGUCAUAUAGGUAUUUGUUAGGUUUUGUGUAUUUGAACUGAGGCAGAAUAGGGUCUGGAGGCAGGGA
rnacentral:lncRNA from 1 species